rnacentral:lncRNA from 10 species
GCAGUUUAGACACUUACAGAAAUGUCUUUGUUUAAGAAAAGGUGCACUGUGAAAGUGUCACGUGGUAUAACCUCAUAAUAAUUUUCUCUUUUUGAAGACCCAGGAUUCAUGAUCAGAGAUCCAGUUAAAAGGCUCCCAGGCCUUUGGACUCCAGGACUUAUUCCAGUGCCCCUCUGUGAUCUCAGGCUUUCGGCCUUGGACUGAGAAUUGCACCGUCAGUUUUCCUGGUUCUGAGAUCUUCAGACUUGGACUGAGUUACACUACCAGCACCCCAGGGUCUCCAGCUUGCAAAUGGCCUUUCAUGAAACUUAGUAUCCAUAACCAUGUGAGCCAAUUUUCCUAAUAAAUUAUCUCUCAAUUUUUAUAUAUAUAUAUA